AAGGGAGACCUAAUUCAGGUAUGGGACGAAAAAAAAGUAGUCGCUACCAAGAAUCAAUCCCAAAAGGUCGGAGCGAGGUAUGAGGCUUUCAAACUAGGUUCUGGGUUCAAACAAGACCUGAAUCAGGAACAAGGGCUAUUAGCUCAGGUGGUUAGAGCGCACCCCUGAUAAGGGUGAGGUCCCUGGUUCGAGUCCAGGAUGGCCCACCUGCACAGGUGGCAAAAACAAGAGAAGCGAGGAAUCAGCACCUUAUCUUAUUUAUAUAUAAGAGAGAAUGCUGGCUCUGAGUAAAGAGUCCAGAGGAACCUUGAAAACUGCAUAGAGCUAGGUGAAAAAGCCAAAAAAGAAGACCGCAA
rnacentral:tRNA from 1 species